rnacentral:pre_miRNA from 14 species
UGUGUGUGUGUGUGUGUGUGUGUGUGUGUGUGUGUCUCUCACCUGACCAAGGACAUACUCUGAGAAUCAUCCAUCACUUCAGUGGACAGACUGUAAUGACUGAGACACAGAGGACGGAGCUGAAAACACACUCACACACACUCACACACACUCACA